UAUGCUUUUAAGAUUUUCUAGUUUGGCAUCUGAGACAAUACCGCGUCACCGGGAGUAUAGAUCAUCUCCACAAAGCAAGAAACAAUCAUUGAAAAAGGGAUUGUUGAUUUCUUUGAAUGAACUGGAGACGUUGAAACCGUUGGUCCAGCAGAAGAUCAAUGAGCUUAACAGCAAAAUUGCUCACCAACAAAAUGGACGGGGAAAUUUUCAUUCAAAUAAUUCAGUGGAUUUUUCUCCUGUGAAAAAGCAAACUUUGGCUAGUAAUAAUGGACAAAUAAAGGCAGUCAGAGCAACUGCCAAGGAGUAUGUUUACCAAGGAUCAAGUGGCCAACAGUUCUCUUAUGUCAGGCCUGUGGAAGAGCAAGUACGAAGACUUUUUAAUCCUCACAGGAAUUAAGUUAAACUUAAACUUCCUUUCAUCUGUUUGGUUACUUUCUAAUAUCGUUUGAGGAAACUUCUGCAUUUCAAAGUGGAUAAUUCUAGAU